rnacentral:rRNA from 1 species
UUAAGCGACCAAGCGUACACGGUGGAUGCCCUGGCAGUCAGAGGCGAUGAAGGACGUGCUAAUCUGCGAAAAGCGCCGGUAAGGUGAUAUGAACCGUUAUAACCGGCGAUGUCCGAAUGGGGAAACCCAGUGUGACUCGUCACACUAUCAUUAACUGAAUCCAUAGGUUAAUGAGGCGAACCGGGGGAACUGAAACAUCUAAGUACCCCGAGGAAAAGAAAUCAACCGAGAUUCCCCCAGUAGCGGCGAGCGAACGGGGAGGAGCCCAGAGCCUGAAUCAGCAUAUGUGUUAGUGGAAGCGUCUGGAAAGGCGCGCGAUACAGGGUGACAGCCCCGUACACAAAAGCGCAUGUGCUGUGAGCUCGAUGAGUAGGGCGGGACACGUGGUAUCCUGUCUGAAUAUGGGGGGACCAUCCUCCAAGGCUAAAUACUCCUGACUGACCGAUAGUGAACCAGUACCGUGAGGGAAAGGCGAAAAGAACCCCGGCGAGGGGAGUGAAAAAGAACCUGAAACCGUGUACGUACAAGCAGUGGGAGCCCCACCACUAAGCCAGUGGUGAACUCCACAUCCGCAUCCUUUGCGGAAGAUACGGUUAACGGAGCGAAAGCGACGUUCAACCGCAAAAGAAGCAGAGGGGGCUUAGUGGUGGGGUGACUGCGUACCUUUUGUAUAAUGGGUCAGCGACUUAUAUUCUGUAGCAAGGUUAACCGAAUAGGGGAGCCGGAGGGAAACCGAGUCUUAACCGGGCGUUAAGUUGCAGGGUAUAGACCCGAAACCCGGUGAUCUAGCCAUGGGCAGGUUGAAGGUUGGGUAACACUAACUGGAGGACCGAACCGACUAAUGUUGAAAAAUUAGCGGAUGACCUGUGGCUGGGGGUGAAAGGCCAAUCAAACCGGGAGAUAGCUGGUUCUCCCCGAAAGCUAUUUAGGUAGCGCCUCGUGAAUUCAUCUCCGGGGGUAGAGCACUGUUUCGGCCAGGGGGCCAUCCCGGCUUACCAACCCGAUGCAAACUGCGAAUACCGGAGAAUGUUAUCACGGGAGACACACGGCGGGUGCUAACGUCCGUCGUGAAGAGGGAAACAACCCAGACCGCCAGCUAAGGUCCCAAAGUCAUGGUUAAGUGGGAAACGAUGUGGGAAGGCCCAGACAGCCAGGAUGUUGGCUUAGAAGCAGCCAUCAUUUAAAGAAAGCGUAAUAGCUCACUGGUCGAGUCGGCCUGCGCGGAAGAUGUAACGGGGCUAAACCAUGCACCGAAGCUGCGGCAGCGACACUGUGUGUUGUUGGGUAGGGGAGCGUUCUGUAAGCCUGCGAAGGUGGCCUGUGAGGGUUGCUGGAGGUAUCAGAAGUGCGAAUGCUGACAUAAGUAACGAUAAUGCGGGUGAAAAACCCGCACGCCGGAAGACCAAGGGUUCCUGUCCAACGUUAAUCGGGGCAGGGUGAGUCGACCCCUAAGGCGAGGCCGAAAGGCGUAGUCGAUGGGAAACGGGUUAAUAUUCCCGUACCUGGUGUUACUGCGAAGGGGGGACGGAGAAGGCUAUGUUGGCCGGGCGACGGUUGUCCCGGUUUAAGCGUGCAGGUGUGUGUUCCAGGAAAAUCCGGUUCACUUUAACACUGAGGCGUGACGACGAGGCACUACGGUGCUGAAGCAACAAAUGCCCUGCUUCCAGGAAAAGCCUCUAAGCCUCAGGUAACAUCAGAUCGUACCCGAAACCGACACAGGUGGUCAGGUAGAGAAUACCAAGGCGCUUGAGAGAACCCGGGUGAAGGAACUAGGCAAAAUGGUGCCGUAACUUCGGGAGAAGGCACGCUGACAUGUAGGUGAAGCGGUUUACCCGUGGAGCUGAAGUCAGUCGAAGAUACCAGCUGGCUGCAACUGUUUAUUAAAAACACAGCACUGUGCAAACACGAAAGUGGACGUAUACGGUGUGACGCCUGCCCGGUGCCGGAAGGUUAAUUGAUGGGGUCAGCGCAAGCGAAGCUCCUGAUCGAAGCCCCGGUAAACGGCGGCCGUAACUAUAACGGUCCUAAGGUAGCGAAAUUCCUUGUCGGGUAAGUUCCGACCUGCACGAAUGGCGUAAUGAUGGCCAGGCUGUCUCCACCCGGGACUCAGUGAAAUUGAACUCGCUGUGAAGAUGCAGUGUACCCGCGGCAAGACGGAAAGACCCCGUGAACCUUUACUAUAGCUUGACACUGAACACUGGUCCUUGAUGUGCAGGAUAGGUGGGAGGCUUUGAAGUGUGGACGCCAGUCUGCAUGGAGCCGUCCUUGAAAUACCACCCUUUAAUGGCUGGUGUUCUAACGUAGACCCGUGAACCGGGUUGCGGACAGUGUCUGGUGGGUAGUUUGACUGGGGCGGUCUCCUCCUAAAGCGUAACGGAGGAGCACGAAGGUUGGCUAAUCCUGGUCGGACAUCAGGAGGUUAGUGCAAUGGCAUAAGCCAGCUUGACUGCGAGCGUGACGGCGCGAGCAGGUGCGAAAGCAGGUCAUAGUGAUCCGGUGGUUCUGAAUGGAAGGGCCAUCGCUCAACGGAUAAAAGGUACUCCGGGGAUAACAGGCUGAUACCGCCCAAGAGUUCAUAUCGACGGCGGUGUUUGGCACCUCGAUGUCGGCUCAUCACAUCCUGGGGCUGAAGUAGGUCCCAAGGGUAUGGCUGUUCGCCAUUUAAAGUGGUACGCGAGCUGGGUUUAGAACGUCGUGAGACAGUUCGGUCCCUAUCUGCCGUGGGCGCUGGAGAACUGAGGGGGGCUGCUCCUAGUACGAGAGGACCGGAGUGGACGCAUCACUGGUGUUCGGGUUGUCAUGCCAAUGGCACUGCCCGGUAGCUAAAUGCGGAAGAGAUAAGUGCUGAAAGCAUCUAAGCACGAAACUUGCCCCGAGAUGAGUUCUCCCUGAGACUUUAGUCUCCUGAAGGAACGUUGAAGACGACGACGUUGAUAGGCCGGGUGUGUAAGCGCAGCGAUGCGUUGAGCUAACCGGUACUAAUGAACCGUGAGGCUUAACCUU